GCUUCUUCAUUACUUAAUUAAUUAAUUUGUUGUAUUAGUAAUUAGUUGAUUUAGGUUUUUAAAUUUUACAUAAUUAGUUGAUUGGUAUUUAAUUGGCUGAUUAGUAAUUAGUUUUGAAAUUUAGAUGUUUAAUUAGUUUGUUUAUUGACAAAACUUUUGGAGGGAGCGAAAUUGUAAUGCUGAAAGAACACCCAGUAUUUGUUGCAGUUAUAUAGUUGUUAUGAGUAUAAGAGUGAAGAUAAGGAGGAUAAAAUUGUAAAUGACCAAACUGUUUUAGAUGCAGGGCAGUUAUGAAUCUGUUGUAAGCUGUUAAGUUUGUUAUACUUAUAAUCCAUUUUCCUCUUAGUGAUCAGAAAGUAUUAUUCAGUUUUCAUUUCUUCUUCUCUGCUACUCUUCUAUUUUCGUUUCUUUUAGCUUCUUGCAACUCAAGGUUCAGAGUUGCUUUCAGUUGAUAUUUGUUGUGACUCUUACUGCUUGAAUCUUGAAACAUUGACACUCCUAGCAUGACUAAGGAGACUUACCCUGUGAUGUCGCAUACUUGCAUUUGAGAUUUUUGAAAUAGGUGCAAUUGCAAUAGGUGCAGGAGCAAUGGCUGCAUAAACACUAGUAAUUAGUUGAUUUAGCUUAUUAAUUUUAGAUAAUUAGUUUGUUAAUUGGCUGAUUUAGUAGUUGGUUUUAAAUUUGGGUUUUUAAUUGACUGAUUUAGAUUUUAUAAUUUAUAUUUUUAUUUAAUUAUGACCGAGUCAACUAAUUAAAUAGUUCGAUCAGUAAUCUAAUCCAAUCAGUUUGAUUAUCGGUUAUGUUCUAAUAUCUAUGGUGCAGACCUCUACAAUAAGUAAAUAACCCAAACCUGAUUAAAAUAACUGGUUUGGUUGUCUUGUUUUUAAACCGAUUCCAUAAAACCAAACUUCCCAGGUAGUGUCUUUGAUCCCCGAAACCUGACAAGGCGACAUUGGCUUGCUCUUCCUCUCACGAAUACAAGUGUAGGAUGAUCCUUUCCACAGCUCCAGAAGUAACAACAGUUCUUGCUUUUUGUUUGAAGUAGUGGAUGUCUCCAGCCUCCACAACAAUAGCAUGCUCUUGCGCUGCAGUUCACUGAAGUGCAAGCUGCUACUGCCAUUGCCACUGCCGCUCCCACAACUCAUCACUACUCGCCUCUCUUCUUGUUCCACUGUUACAGUCAAUCCUACAAUCUUGAAACAAUGCAGUUCCAUAACCCAUGCCAAGCUCCUGCAACAGCAAGUCACAGUGCAGGGCCUUCUCCACCACUUCACCCGCCACCUCAUUGCCACAUACAUCGCACUCAGCUCCACCAUCCAUGCCACUGUCCUCCUCCUCACACUCCCCCCAUCGCCUCUCUCUGUUUUCUGGUGGAAUCAGCUUAUAAGGCGCUCCCUUCAUCACGGGGACCCUCACGGCUCCCUUGCCCUCUACCAUCAGAUGAAGGCUCAUGGGUGGACCGCUGACCACUACACCUUCCCUUUUGUCUUUAAGGCCUGUGCUGAUAUUCCCUCUUUCUCUGCCGGCACUUCCCUCCACGCUGCUGUUCUACGAUCUGGCUUUGACUCUAAUGUCUUCGUUUGUAAUGCUGUGGUUGGCAUGUACGGUAGGUGUGGCUCUCUCCAAGAUGCGCGCAACAUGUUUGAUGAAUUGUGCCAAAGGGGAAUUCAGGACUUGGUCUCUUGGAAUUCCAUUGUGUCUGCUUGUUCUCGUGCUUAUGAGACAAAUACGGCACUUCAAUUAUUUGUUGAAAUGACCACUCGUCAUUGGGUGUCGCCAGAUCCUGUGAGCCUUGUUAACAUACUUCCUGUUUGUGCUUUUGUUGGUUCUUCGAUGCAGGGGAAACAGGUUCAUGGGUUUGCUGUUAGGAGUGGGUUGGUGGAUGAUGUUUUUGUGGGGAAUGCUAUUGUUGACAUGUACGCCAAGUGUGGUAAGAUGGAUCAAGCAAACAGGGUUUUUGAAAGGAUGAAGUUGAAGGAUGUUGUUUCUUGGAAUGCUAUGGUCACGGGGUAUUCUCAGACUGGAAUGUUUGGGGAUGCUCUCUCUCUGUUUGAGCAGAUGCGGCAGGAGAAUAUCAAGCUGGAUGUUGUGACAUGGACGGCUGUGAUCGCCGGGUAUGCCCAGAGAGGGCAUGGUUCUGAGGCUUUGGACGUGUUUCGGCAGAUGUGCAACUGCGGAUCUCAGCCGAAUGUUGUUACUCUGGUGUCUCUGCUUUCCGGCUGUGCAUCUAUUGGCGCAUUGCUUCAUGGGAAAGAAACUCAUUGUUAUGCCAUCAAAUUUAUGCUGAACUUGGAUGGAAAUGAUCCACGGGAUGAUUUGAUGGUAAUUAAUGGUCUGAUUGACAUGUAUGCUAAGUGCAAAAAUGUUGCUGUAGCCCGUACAAUGUUUGAGUUGAUACCUCCCAAGGAUAGAGAUGUGGUUACCUGGACUGUGAUGAUUGGUGGUUAUGCACAGCAUGGUGAUGCCAACCAUGCGCUACAACUUCUCUCUGAAAUUUUCAAAAUGGGUAACUCUUUAAAGCCCAAUGAUUUUACUUUAUCUUGUGCCCUCAUGGCUUGUGCUCGUUUAGCAGCAUUGAGAUUAGGAAGGCAAAUUCAUGCUUAUGUGUUGCGCAAUCGGUAUGACUGCGUUGUUCUAUUUGUGGCCAAUUGUCUAAUAGACAUGUACUCCAAAUGUGGAGAUGUGGAAACUGCUCAAGUUGUUUUUAAUAACAUGCCAGAGAAAAAUUCUGUAUCUUGGACAACUUUAAUGACAGGUUAUGGUUUGCAUGGACGUGGUGAAGAUGCUAUCCAGGUUUUUGAUGAGAUGAGGAAAGUUGGUCUAGUGCCAGAUGGCAUAACCUUUCUUGUUCUGCUUUAUGCUUGUAGUCAUUCAGGAAUGGUGGAUCAUGGAAUCAAUUUCUUUUAUAGAAUGAGACAGGACUUUGGGGUUCCUCCUGGUGCAGAGCAUUAUGCAUGCAUGGUUGAUCUUCUGGGUCGUGCUGGUCGCUUAGAUGAAGCCGUGAAACUCAUUAAUUGCAUGCCCAUGGAACCAUCUGCAGUAGUGUGGGUGGCCUUGCUUAGUGCAUGUAGGAUACAUUCAAAUGUAGAGCUUGGGGAACUCGCUGCCAGUCGAUUAGGGGAAUUGGAGUCUGGGAAUGAUGGGUCAUACACUCUGCUCUCAAACAUAUAUGCUAAUGCUAGACGUUGGAAAGACGUGGCUAGGAUUAGAUAUUUGAUGAAAAAUACAGGUGUCCAAAAAAGGCCUGGCUGUAGUUGGGUCCAAGGAAGGAAAGGCACUGCAACCUUCUUUGUGGGAGACAGAUCCCACUCGCAAUCUCAGCAGAUAUAUGAAACACUUGCAGAAUUGAUUCAACGCAUUAAAGCUAUUGGAUAUGUUCCUCAGACAAGCUUUGCUCUUCAUGAUGUAGAUGAUGAAGAAAAAGGUGACCUGCUUUUUGAACAUAGUGAGAAAUUGGCCCUUGCCUAUGGCAUCCUAACAAUUCCUCCAGGAUCUCCUAUUCGGAUCACCAAGAAUUUACGCAUUUGUGGUGAUUGCCACAGUGCCAUAACAUACAUAUCCAUGAUUGUUGAACAUGAAAUCAUACUGCGAGACUCAAGUCGCUUCCAUCAUUUCAAGAAUGGUUCCUGCUCAUGCAAAGGUUAUUGGUGACAGUGGUAUCAUUCUGAUCCAUUUAAAUGUAGAGCAUGCUUGCAAUGAUAGGAUGCUAUGAUGAUGAUCGAGCGGUAAGUGAGCAAGUUUGGUAUAGCAUGAAGUUAUUUUCGUGGAAUAUUUUGCAAGUGAUUUGGUAUCCAGAACUGAAAAAUAAAACAGGAUAAAAUGAAAAUAAAGGCUCACAUUCAGUUCCUCUACUGCUUCAAGCUCCAUACUUCUAGAGUCAAGCUCUUCCAUCCCAUUCGGGAAGAUGUCUGCGAAAUCACGGAGUCCUUGCUUCCUAGGCAUGGGAAAAGAUGCAGUGAGGCUUAGUAAUAUUGGUGUUUUGCUCUGCUUUUUUAUGGUAGUUUCUGUUUGAAUACUUUUCAAACUCUGGUGUGAGGAUCCAAAUGACUCUGUGUUCCAAUCUCAGCCUCAGGUGCCUUCUUCGUGUGGCGUGUUAAUUAUUGUUGACUGGUAGGCUGUUGCCUGGCAGUGACCUAGUAUUAACUAUUAACAGUAUACCCUGCCUUCAUCACUCUUGUUCCACUUUUUGCAUUUUGCUGGUGCAGAGGCUGAGAGAUGCAGGUUUGAACCAGCAGAUCUCCAAGGUCAAAGAUCACCAGAACAUUCUCGAAGAAGAGUUUCAACGUCUUGGCGAGGAUGUGGUGGGUUUGAAUUAGUUUUCUAUAAUAGGUUUGAUUUUAUCCUAGUGUAUUCUUUCAACAAAUAUAUGAAUAACUAGAUGAUUACUUAUUUCUUUAGUCUGAUUUGAGCAAUGUAAAACAUAAUGCUCUGCUAGAGGCUUUAGUUUAAAAUCAGUAAAUGUUAUUUAGCCUUUUUUGGGAUAGUUUUUACUCAACGAAUAUGGUGAUCCAAAAUUUGAAUUGUUCUGU